CUUCCCUGUUGUCGAUGGGCAAAGAGCCACCUUGUUGGUGGCGUUCUUAUGUCAGUCAGGGGCAGAGCAGAUGGCUCCUUUGUUCCUCUAGAUUGAUGCCUGGCUUUUGGUGGCCAAAGCUGUCUUAUGCCUGGGACUCAUAG
ensembl:snoRNA LOC120095441 small nucleolar RNA SNORA48